CUCAGGGACUGAGAACUCUUCAUGUGCGUCAGAAUGUACCUGCACUCAGAACGCUGUGCGUCGACAACUGUCCAAAACUUUUAGAAGCCAGUGGACUGCAUCAUCUUUCUUCCCUUGUAAGCUUACAGAUAUCCAAUUGCCCUCAGUUUUAUAUCAAAGAGAAACUUCCAUCCCAUGUUCAAGUAUUGUUAUAUCCAUCUGAGCAAAUGCAGAGAAGAAGCAUAUCAGUCUCCAGUGACAGAACCGAUAAUUACACACGGGAGGGGCCUUUGUUCUCUGGACUCUCUCUUGUUCUCUGAACUCUCUCGUUGACUACAAAUACCAGACUGCCACUUGGCAAAUAUGGCAAAGAUGGCUGCUGGGAAUCACGUCCGCCAGAUUAGACAUACCAUUGCAGAUUGCUGUAUUAGCAAUC